GAAGAAGCCGCACGGCAACCUUCCCACCCUCGGGGUGACCUACUUCUCAAUUCCUGUAGCCUCAACAUCCAUCGCUGCAGAAUUCUGAUGAGCCCUGGCAAUUUCACUGCUGGUAUUUGAUGAGAAAAAGGAAUUGAAAUGUAGGUGACUGAUUGGGACCGACCUGGAGAAGCUGUUGGAGGUCGGGUUCUUUUUGAUGACGGAAGCUGGUCUGUGCGAGGGGACUUCCUGGGACCCUGCAGCGCUGCCCAGAGGUUCUGAUUGUUUCCCGAGGUUGGGGAACAUGAAGGCUGCCCUGUUACCCUGGCCUGAGAGAUAGAGGGGCUCUCGCAGCGGCUCGGGGUGAGUUUUCCAAUCGGAAUGAAGCAUCUUUAGCUGUUCUCCACCGGAUCCUUAUUUUGCCUCUCAGGGCUGAAGUUGACCUUGAACUCUGGAGUGCUGUCUGAAUGAGCCUCGGAGGGCAGGACUGGCAGCGCCUAGGCUGCCGGGCGACCCUCCUCCACCAGCAGCAGACCCCGGGGGGCGGGCAGACGCAGAGAGAAGCAGUGAGGCUCCUUGGCCAGGUCCUUCUCCUUCCUUUCUCCUAACUCUUAGUCAUCAGGAGGUCCCCUCCUCUGUGCAUACUUUUCUGAAAAUCCCCAUCCCUGUCCCAGGCCACGUGGACAUAGACCUCCCUCCUGGGCCUCCCUGCGGCCCUUCCAGCAACUUCCUUGAUUGUGUUUUCCUGUUCUAGGCUCAGCUCCCACAGGCUGGGCAACCCUUGGGGGCAGGCAGUCUGCUGAUCACUCCUCAGCUGGGCCAGGGACACUUGACCUAUGGCAGAUGCCACAGAGUGAGUACCAGUCCCAGCUGAGCUAAGAACAGAGCAGAAGCUGGGCUCUGCCCUGAACGGACAGAACCCGUUCUAGGGGUAAGGCCAGGACCAGCGUUUCAGAGCUCCGUGGGUUUCGUGGCAGAGCAACUUGGAGUGGCAGAAACAGACCUUUGGAAUGUGACUUCCAGGGCUGGGACCUGGGCUUCCCGCCUGACUCAUUCCUUAUAGGGGGAACUGGGUGGCGGCUGUCAGGCAGGCUGUGUGCUGGGUUCUAGAAAAUAUGCAACACACCUCGUACUUCAGGUGCCCCCGUGGCUUUUCAUCUAUGGCUCCCAGUGCUUGUGCACAUAGGGCCAGGCCUGUAAGAGAUGGAGUUAGGCAAGACCUGGUCUGAAUGGUUGCUAGGUCUUUAAAUUGGACGGUUACAUGACUUCUCUGACUCAGGAGUUUCAUCUAGUAAGUGGGUUUAAUAAUAUUGUCCAUAUAUCCGUGGAAAAAACCUAGAGGAAUGCCGUCUGGCAGAUGGAGGCAUAAAGAAAAUGUGGUAUAAACGUACACAGGAAUGCUAUUUGGCCUUUAAAAGAAACUGUGAUACGUGACACGCACAAAGCUUAAGGACCUUAUGGUUAAUGGUUAGAGAAAGACAAGUUCUGCAUGACGUCACUCACUGAGGCAUCUGAAACAGUCAAAUGCAUAGAGUCAAGGAGAGGGGAUAAUAGCUAGUUACAGGAGGCAGAGAAACAGGGGAUGUUACUAAUCAAUGGGCCAAAGUUUUCAGUCAAGGGAGAAGAAAAAGCUCCAGAGAUCCAGGCAUGCACGGCAUUGCUGGAGCCCACGACAGUGCCUGGCACAUGUGCACAGAUGUUAAGAGGGCAGGUCUCUGGCUAAGAGUCCUUACACAACACAAAAAAGCCCCUGCACGGGAGUUACAAGCAUAAGCCUGGCCUGUGCUAUGAUAUCAAGUAAGUGUCUGAUAAUCAGCAGCUAUUCAUUGCCAUGUUGUCAUUAUGAGAUGGUUAGAUGCGUGAGUGACAGACAGGGUAAAUGUUGACUGAUGGACACAGAGGGAAUAGCUACUAGAUAAGGAUAUACGGAUUGACUUCUUUUCUAAUCUCUCUGAGCCUUGAACUUUGUGGAAAAGACUUAGGCCUUGAUUUCUGACCUUCACAAAUCACAAUACUGAUUAGACUUUGUUUCUGUUUGGUAAGGCUAGAUAAAUGAGCUACUGAUAGUUUUUUUGGAGUCAAAAUAUAUUUUCAUUUGCUAAUUUCUGUCAACAGGCCAAAAGCUUUUCUUAAGUAAACAAUUAUGUUUUUAGGGAAGUGUAAGUUAAAGUGCUGUUCCCAAUUUUGCUAAACGUGCACGCCCUCUAACUGUCAUUUAUCCGACACGCACUCAGCUCUAGUUGCUGCUAACCCACGGAGCUCUCACCAGCAGACACACGGGAACGGAUGCAGGCUGCGAGCCAGAGGGGCGAGGCGGAGCCCCUUGCAGCCCCUGCCCUUCGCCCCCCACAGAGGUCAACGGAAGUAAGGAAGUGACCCUCCACGUGUGCCCUUCAGUCUCCUAGGGUGAGGAUCAGGGGAUGAAUUCCAACUAUGAGGAAAACAAUUAAAUGCUUACAAAAUUUGAAGAAAACUUAGGAAACCUGUUUUAGCUGUGUAAUGGAGCUGUCACCUGUUAGCUGAGGGAUAGCAGGAGCCUCUUCCCAGAGUGCUCCCCGGUAUUCUGCCUUUGCCCUAGAGCCCCCUAAACCAGAUCUCGGGGUCAUCAGUGUCUCCCUCCUGAUCCAAGACUGCUGCCUAUGCUUGAGCAAGCUGAUGUCCCUGUCUGCCUCAAGAAGGCCACUGCUCAUGGCAGGGGACCACCACCAGGGGCUCCCCAAAUUUUCAGUCUUCAGGGGGUUGGGGGUGGUUGGCUUCCUGUAGAACAGGAUGAAUGGACUGUCCCCAAGACCCUAGGUCUGAAGGGGUCUGCUGCCCGCCCCCGAUACCCCUACCUCAUGUCUCCUGAGCAUCUCUGUGGCUCUUUUUCCUCUUGGGGCAAAAAGCCGGGCCAGCGGGGAAGACACCGUGGUCCUCUAUGCUCCACUGUCCUCCCGAUACAGGAUAAUGGCUCCCUUGCAAAGCACCCAUGGUGCACACGGAUCCUGCUGUGACUGAGUGAGUGUGGUGCCGGAGCCACGGCGGGCGGACCUCAGCUUGUGCCUAAAAUCCAGUCACGCUCUUGAAGCGGUGAACAAUGACAGCAAGACUAGGUGAUAACUUCCUGGAGAGCAACGUAGCAGGACUGACCAGGGGCCUUAAAACGCUAUAGCCUUUUAACUCCUAGGAAUUCACUUUCAGGAAAUAGGUUUUUAAAGAUCUAGGUUUAAGGAUUUUCAUUUUAAAAUUUAAUUGGAGAUCAACAACCUUAAUAACCAAGAUAGAAGAUAAAUAAAUCAAUAAAUCCUGGUAUUUACAUACACGUAAUAAACUAUUUUAAGACCAUGAAAGUAUAAAGUAUAAUUAAUGAUAUAGGAAGAUAUUAAUGUUGAGAUAUUGGGUUGAAACUAUUAGAUAUAAAAUUGUAGGUAUAACAUCAUCUCAUCAUGUGAAAAGCAUAAAAGUGUACGUGUGCGUGUGAGUGUGUGUGUGUGUGUGUGUGUGUGUAUGAAAGAGUCAUGUGCCAAUUAAAGUCUCU
rnacentral:lncRNA from 1 species